rnacentral:lncRNA from 1 species
UCUAGAAGGAGAGGAAGUUCCCUUUUGGGGAGUUAGCCUUCCAGCCCCUGUGCAAAGCGCAGCUGAAAACAAAAGCCGUAGACACCCAUGAAGGAAACACAUGGAAAAGCUUCCUAUGACCGACCAGGAAGAUCUCUGUGAACUGGUACGAUUCCCAUCUUCUUCCUGAAGGGAGACGCAGCACCGCAUCAGAGCAGCGCGCCCAUCUCAAGAUCCACACCCACGAGAGAAGAGCCGCGCUGCUUCUGUAGAGCUUGCUGGGAAGACCCCCCCAGGACGCCUGGCCAGUAAAGAGUGGCCAGCACUAACCUGCUUAGCUAACUUGAUUUAGCAAACAAAAAAUACAGAUGCCUAGUUAAGUCUAACCUUCACAAAAACAAGGAAUUUUUGUGUAAGUCUUCCACGUAGCAUCUGGGCCAUAUAUACAGUAAGUCUGUGUAAUCCACCAUAAGCCAGUCCUUGCCCUCCUCCUCACUGCUCAUCAUCGCCUCCAAAAACGUAUAGCAGAUUGUAUAGCAGAUGUAUAAGUUCUCUCUUACAAGCAAAUAAAGUGCCAGCUUACUGUUCAGGAUGAUCUAACCCUUGGACUAGCAGGCUGAUCAUGAAAAAAAUGAAAGGGACUGAUUUACAUAUAUGCAAAUCAGAGGCCAGGCUAGCCAGACAUGUGAGUUCACUAAUUUUCCCUCAGAUAUAAACACCAGCAUGAGUUACUUGAUUGGUAAACAGAACUCAUUUUGUGAAUUAUCUAAAAUCAGUAAAGGGUAAUGAUUUCUAUUUGUUUGAAAGGAAAAACAUUUGUACUGUAUAUGUUUAAAGGAAUAGACCAAAUUUGUUUCAGUGCUACACACGUACAUGGAAGAAAGUCAUAUUUGCAUUUAUCAAAGUCACACUCUUCCCAGCAUUUCUUUUGCUAAGGUUUUACUUCUUCACCAAGAAGGGUGGCUCAGUGAAAGUUUUACUGAAUUUUGUGGCAAUUCUGGAAAACCUAGACCGUUGUAAUCCUGUGUUGACCCUAAAUCCACGAACCCAAAACUUAAGGCAAAAAAAGUUAAGCAUAAACUUUUAUGAAAAUAGCAGCUGUAAUAUAUUCCAUCAGGUCCCCACCAACUCAGACUGCAGACUCCCACAAGCUCUAAUCCAAAACAGGUAAUUAAAACUGUGAAGCCAAACAUCAAUAAAAAUGUUCUCACCUGUUGCUAACUCUAAAAAUCUCAAUAUAGAUUUCAGAGAGAAAAAGUGUUGGUUUUAGAAGCUGAUCCUUCUAAAGCCCAGAACACUGAGUUCUAAUUUUGUCUCUUCAGUGUCUGAUUGUGACCUCUGUGGAAGUCUGUAGAGAGUUCUGACUUGGUCUCCCCGUGGGCAAAAUGCAGUUACUGAAUUUUAUGUGUUCUUCACCUAACCGAAAGUGUGUAAGAAUGUCUAUACUUAACACUGUGAGCGCUUCAGACAAAAGGAAGUACAAAUGUGAUUUCUGCUCUUCACCUUUUAAGCAACUUUAGAAGUUGGAAUCAGUUGGUUUAAAGCACUUAGAAAUAACUUCAUUUUGGAAACCCUAUUUUCAUUUAUUUAAACCAAUAGUCCCAUAGUCCUUUCUUAAUCGUCAAUAAACCCCUACGUUUGAAGCUCAAGCGGUCUGAUAGUAUCUCUAACACCAUUCAACAGCUAUUAGAUGGGAUAAUCACCUGUUUAUCCUCAUGUCACUAAUUCAAACGCUAAUUGCACUCUAGACUUGGUUUAUUCCCUUACUGAAGCCAGACCAGGUGUGCAAGACCCUAGAAGUAUGCUGCGGUGUCAUGGAACUCCAGUUUCCAGUAGUACAGACAGAACACACGCACCCUUGCACAAAAAUCAGCAUGUCGCCCACAACUGUGAAAAAUUAGUAAUUACCUAAGUGACAGAUCACAGGGAAGUAAACCAAAGGAAACCAGAGCACGUAUCAUGCAAUUAAAACAUUUGUGUAUACAGUUAAACACGAAAAAAACAACCAUAUUGAGUUAAACAUAAAACUGUCUGGAAUUGGUGGGUUCUUAGUCUGACUUCAAAAAGGAAGCCUCAGACCCUCGCGGUAGUAACAGUUCUUAAAAGUGGCGUAUCCGGAGUUUUGUUUCAUUAUUACGUUUGGGUGUGUUCCGAGUUUUUCUUCUAGGUGGGUUUAGUGGUCUUGAUACCUCAGCAAUGAAGUUACGGACCUUCGCGGUAACUAUUACAGCUCUUAAAGUGGUGCGUUUGGAGCUUUUUCCUCCCACCAAGGCUCAACAGCUUAUAUUAGCUUCGAAAGUAAAGCUACAAACCUUCGCAGGGAGUGUCAUAGCUCACAAAGGCAAUAUAGUCCCACAUAGCAAAACAACAAAACUCCCACAAAGCGCGAGACGACCCGAUACACGUUCCCACUAACCAGC